UGGGGAAUUUUGGACAAUGGGCGCAAGCCUGAUCCAGCCAUGCCGCGUGCAGGAUGAAGGCCUUCGGGUUGUAAACUGCUUUUGUACGGAACGAAAAGGUGCCUUCUAAUAAAGGGCGCUCAUGACGGUACCGUAAGAAUAAGCACCGGCUAACUCCGUGCCAGCAGCCGCGGUAAUACGGAGGGUGCGAGCGUUAUCCGGAUUUACUGGGUUUAAAGGGUGCGUAGGUGGGCUUAUAAGUCAGUGGUGAAAUCUCCGAGCUUAACUUGGAAACUGCCGUUGNUACUAUAGGUCUUGAAUUAUCUGGAGGUAAGCGGAAUAUGUCAUGUAGCGGUGAAAUGCUUAGAUAUGACAUAGAACACCAAUUGCGAAGGCAGCUUACUACAUAUAAAUUGACGCUGAGGCACGAAAGCGUGGGGAUCAAACA
rnacentral:rRNA from 1 species